CCGACCGUCUCGCAUCUUCUGGUCUGGAUUCCCAGGUCAUUCCCUGUAACUCACCAGCACUCAGAUUCUAACUACUUUUCCGGGUUUAAUCUGGAGUUACUGUUUUAAGGGCAAUUUGUUUGCUGGUUUGGGGCUGGGUUGCAAGAACCAGCCACCCCACGAAUGACCAAAAACAAACUCCAAACAAGUGAAGAAACAAAACCCCCGCGGAGUCCUAGCUUCACAGGAGCACCGUCCAACUGGAAUUUCCUUUCUGUGGCUGUUGACGCCCUCGCGCUGAUGUCACCAGGCUCGGGCUGCUGCUGCUGUUGCUACUGCCUCCUCCCCAGCCCAUGCAGGAGGCAGAGGCAAAGACCGCGCUAUGAAUUAUUUAAAGGUGUAGGAGCCAUUUGCAGGCAAAAGGAAGAAACGACGAAGACUGCAAAAGGGGGCAACCCCCGCCCAGCCUACUGAAAUGAGGACACAGGAGGCUCCAUCCGGUAAAGGGAGAGGAGGGAAGAUGCCCAUCGGAAUAUGCCAGUUAUUGGCCUUUCUUUUGCACCAGCUCAGCCGUUGAUGGGUCGACUUCUAUGCAGCACAUUACCGGCUACAUCAAAAGUAUUGGCCCAUAUACCGACUACUGGAGUAUCUGCGCAUUUACAUCAACUUCAACAGCAGCAAAAGUUGUACUAUGAUAAAGGGACCGCUCCCUUGCCACCAUUUCGGUAGGUGAAAAGGUUUACAUGCAGACAAAGACAGGUUGGAUACCAGCCAGUGUCACAGCCAGGAGGGAUGAGCUGGGAGCGUACAUCUAAUGGAACAAUACUGAGGAGAAAUAGGAGACAUUUAAGAAAAGAUCGUGCUUUACCUAUUACUGGGUCAUGUGAUGACACAUUUGGUGUUUGCAAUGACUAUGCCUGUGUAGAAAGUUCAGACUUGGCACCAUACUACUGUAUAUGAUCACCAGAUCAGAAUGAAGAGGGCCAUGUACCAGCACCACAGAGUUGUGGAUAUCUAUCUGAAGCUUCCGAAGAGAUGGAGAUACCUUAAGAGACUGUAUUACAUACUGGGAGUGGCAGAGUUAUACAUCGCCCAACCAAAUAUGAUGAUUUUGUCAUGGGGAAGUGGUAAAGACUUGCCCCCAAUGGGAGUCAUGUGCUUGAACCUCUGGCACCAAGUAUUUACAGUAUUUUACACUAAACACAGGAGUUACCACUGAGUAACAUACAUAAAAUUGGGCUGCAUGUGCCUAUUGAGUACUUUUUGCCUUGCUUCUGUUUUGCUCUGAUGUUAGAUAUAAGUAUGGUUUAUUUCAAUGGUGAUUCUUAAAUUGCUUUCCUUUAGAAAGUUUGUACAUUGCUUCUGUUAGAAGUGAGGAUUCUAAAGCAUUGCUCUUAGCUCUGCAGUAACCUCUUCUGGCCACUAGAGGCAUUAUGACUCAUGUUAAUAGGUCUCACUUGGUCAGCUAAGAGUCAGAACUGUUCAGUUGUUGUUGAAGGCCUGUUUGAGUAUGUUGUGCAAUGGCUCUCUCUUAGUAUGUGAUGUUUUAGUUUCUGAAUACAUCUUUGAUUUUUUUUUAACUCGA